CCUUGGUGAUUGACGUUACUCGCAGAAGAAGCACCGGCUAACUACGUGCCAGCAGCCGCGGUAAUACGUAGGUGGCAAGCGUUAUCCGGAUUUAUUGGGCGUAAAGCGAGCGCAGGCGGUCUUUUAAGUCUAAUGUGAAAGCCUUCGGCUCAACCGAAGAAGUGCAUUGGAAACUGGGAGACUUGAGUGCAGAAGAGGACAGUGGAACUCCAUGUGUAGCGGUGAAAUGCGUAGAUAUAUGGAAGAACACCAGUGGCGAAGGCGGCUGUCUGGUCUGUAACUGACGCUGAGGCUCGAAAGCAUGGGUAGCGAACAGGAUUAGAUACCCUGGUAGUCCAUGCCGUAAACGAUGAUUACUAAGUGUUGGAGGGUUUCCGCCCUUCAGUGCUGCAGCUAACGCAUUAAGUAAUCCGCCUGGGGAGUACGACCGCAAGGUUG
rnacentral:rRNA from 1 species